UUGAAGAAAAUAGCAUCAACUGAUAGGGCUAUGGAAAAAAUGGCAAACAAGAAAAUAGAAUAUAUUGGCCGCUACCCAUCAGCCGCUACUGCUACAGGAAACAAGAGCAAGCACUUGUGGGAGUUUGCCGAAUUCAUGAAGCAUGCCAUGCAGAUGAACUAGAUUGAAAAAAAAAACAGACUAGAUUUUAACUGAAAAAAGGAAAUGGAAUCCCUUUAGAUUCAAUAUAUGUACAUUUUCGUAGACUGAAUGGAUUCACUUAGUUCAAUUUGAUAUCAUCUAAAGCAGAAAGUUUCAGUUGUACAUAAUAUGGACACAAGAAACAGUUUUCACUGAAAAAACAGGAAAGUUUUUCGCAAUUUCGUUAGCUUUCCUAUAGAGCAAAUUCUUUGAUAUGGAUUGAUUUUAAUGUUUUUUAGACUACUACUAAGGGAUUUCUUUGCUCAUCAGAAUGAAUACACAUCCGAGUGAUAAUAAUAAGUAUUGUGACUUCAGGAAGGAAAUAAUUGUGUCAAUUAUUUAUCUAUAUGAUAUUUUAUUGCCUCGUUAACAGUGUUUAUUGUUGCUUUGUUGAAAUGGCACGGUCAUCCAAUCUUUUUCUCAUUUAUAAAAUCUGUACAUGAAUUUGUUGUGUAACAUAUGGCCAUGUAACGUUAAUGUAUUGUCCCAGUUGUAACCGUUAUAUGUGAUCAGAAUGAUAAAACCGGUUUCAUAAGAAAAAAAGACCUCCAAGGGGCUUUUGCCUGUGUUAUUGUUAAAGAUAGUGC